rnacentral:rRNA from 1 species
ACGGGAGGCAGCAGUAGGGAAUAUUGCACAAUGGGGGGAACCCUGAUGCAGCGACGCCACGUGGGGGAAGAAGCAUUUCGGUGUGUAAACCACUGUCAUGAGGGAAUAAUGCUUGAUUUCGGUCAAGUUGAAUGUACCUCGAAAGGAAGCACCGGCAAACUUCGUGCCAGCGGCCGCGGUAAUACGAGGGGGGCAAGCGUUGUUCGGAAUCACUGGGCGUAAAGGGAGCGUAGGCGGAGACGCAAGCAGUCUGUACAAUACCGGGGCCCAACCCCGGACCUGCAGACUGGACUGUGUCUCUUGGAUAGUUCAGGGGCAGGCGGAAUUCCUGGUGUAGCGGUGGAAUGCGUAGAGAUCAGGAAGAACACCGAUGGCGAAGGCAGCCUGCUGGGGACUCAUCGACGCUGAGGCUCGAAAGUGCGGGUAGCAAACAGGAUUAGAUACCCUGGUA